rnacentral:rRNA from 1 species
CCUACGGGGGGCAGCAGUAGGGAAUAUUGCUCAAUGGGGGAAACCCUGAAGCAGCAACGCCGCGUGGAGGAUGAAGGUUUUCGGAUUGUAAACUCCUUUUGUUAGAGAAGAUAAUGACGGUAUCUAACGAAUAAGCACCGGCUAACUCCGUGCCAGCAGCCGCGGUAAUACGGAGGGUGCAAGCGUUAUUCGGAAUGACUGGGCGUAAAGAGCGCGUAGGCGGGAAAGCAAGUCAGAUGUGAAAUCCCACGGCUUAACCCUGGAACUGCAUUUGAAACUGUUAUUCUAGAGUAUCGGAGAGGUAGGUGGAAUUCUUGGUGUAGGGGUGAAAUGCGUAGAGAUAAGGAGGAAUA